UAGGGAAUCUUCCACAAUGGGCGCAAGCCUGAUGGAGCAACGCCGCGUGAGUGAAGAAGGUCUUCGGAUCGUAAAACUCUGUUGUUAGAGAAGAACAUGCAGGAGAGUAACUGUUCUUGUAUUGACGGUAUCUAACCAGGAAGCCACGGCUAACUACGUGCCAG
rnacentral:rRNA from 1 species